CACAGGAGCCUAGGGUCUUUCACUGUGUGAUGCUGUGGUCACGGCUGCUGCCUGUGCUGUGGACAGGGUGCCUGGCUGCGCAGAAUUAUGAGCUCUCAGUGACUAGAUCAGUGACGGUGCAGGAGGGUCUGUGCAUCUUUGUAGCCUGCCAAGUCCAGUACCCUGCUUCCAGUACUUCUGUCUUUGGCUACUGGUUCCGGGAUGGGGCUGAUAUAUAUAGCGACUCUCCAGUGGCUACAAAUGACCCACAUCGACCAGUACAGAAGGAAGCUCAAGGUCGAUUCUAUCUUAUGGGGGACCAAGAUACUGAUAAUUGCUCCCUGGACAUCAGAAACGCACGGAAAAGUGACACGGGAAAGUACUUCUUCAGGUUGGAUGGAAGUGGUAUUGUAAAAUUCAGUUUUCUGAAGGCGAUGCUGUCUGUGCAUGUGAUAGCUCUGACUGAGACCCCUAACUUCCAAGCCACACCUACCCUGGUGUCUGGCACUUCUACUCAACUGAUCUGUUCUGUGCCCUGGGCCUGUGAGCGGGGGACACCCCCCAUCUUUUCCUGGAUGUCAUCUGCCCUCACUUCCCUGGGCCACAGGACCACCCUCUCCUCAGAGUUGAACCUCACACCCAAGCCUCAGGACAAUGGUACCAACCUCACUUGUCAGGUGGCAGUCCCUGGUGCUAGUGUUACUGUGGAGAGGACUCAACAGCUCAGUGUCACCUAUGCUCCACAGAAGCUGACCAUCAGGGUGUCCUGGGGAGAUGACACAGAAACUAAAGUCCUGUAUAACGGAGCAUCCCUGCAGAUUCAAGAGGGAGAGUCCCUGUGCCUGGUUUGUGUGGCCGACAGCAACCCUUCUGCCAUGCUGAGAUGGGAGCACCAGACCCAAAAGCACCUCCAGCUCUCCACCCCUGAGGAACUGAAGCUGCCACGGGUGGAGUUGAAGGACCAGGGAAAAUAUAUCUGCCAAGCUCAGAACAGUCUGGGUACUCAGACGGUCUCUGUGAGCCUCAGCAUAAGGAGCCUUCUACAGCUGCUGGGACCCUCCUGCUCCUGGGAGGCUCAGAGUCUUCACUGCAGCUGCUCCUCCAGAGCCUGGCCUGCCCCCUCCCUGCGCUGGCGGCUGGGGGAGGGGCUGCUGGAGGGGAACAGCAGCAAUGCCUCCUUCACAGUUAUGUCCAGCUCCACAGGACCAUGGGCUAACAGCUCCCUGAGCCUCAGCGUGGAAUUCAGCACUGACUGCAGACUCAGCUGUGAAGCUUGGAAUGACUAUGAAGUUCAGAGAGCCAAUAUCUUGCUGGUGCCAGGACAAGAGGUCUCACAGGCAGGCAAAUCAGAAACCAGUAGAGGAAUGGUCCUGGGGGCCAUCUGGGGAGCUGGUCUUAUGGCCUUGCUUGUUGUCUGCCUCUGCCUUAUCUUCGUCAUAGUGAAAGUCCUCAGGAAGAAAUCAGCCUUGAAAGUAGCAGGCGUGGAAGGCAACCAUCUUGCCAAGAACCCUGUCUCCACCAUAAAUAGUGCGAGCAUGGUUUCAUCCAACAUUUCGUUGAGAUACCCCAUCCAGGGUCAUCUGAAUGAGUCAGGGUCACAGACCCAGAAAGAACAGCCACCUCUUGCCACAGCCCCAGACACCCCAAAGGAUGAGCCUGAACUCCACUACGCCUCCCUCUCCUUCCAAGGCCCAAGGCCCCAGCAGCCUCAGAACGUGGAAGCCAUCAAAUCUAUUUACUCAGAGAUCAAGAUCCGCAAGUGCUGACGCUCUGUGUCUCAUGUGGCCCAGUGCUGGCUGGAGUCCCAGAAAGGCAUAGCCAAAGACAGCAUGUGUUAGGAGCGUAUUCUGAUAUCAGUGGCCCUCUAAACCAAAAACUAUGUAGUGAAAGGAUGGAGUUUUGGAAGGAAUGAAGGUCACAGGGAUUCCUAGAGAGAAAAAUCAGCAAAGAACUUCUGAUUACAUGCUGCCAACUUCUUGCUGCUUCCAUAGACUUGUGCCAACUGGUGGAUCUUUGUGGUUUCGUCUGGAUAGAGCCACUGCUACUGAUUCAUAUUUGGUGUUUGCCAAAUGAAGUGGACUGCCACUGCUGAUUCGCGUUUGGUGUUUUGAUAGUAAACUGGACCACUGACAACAAAGAUUGGAAUCUCUCAAAAGAACUAUUUCUAAACAGGUCCCCUGCUUCCUAUUAACCUUUCUAUUCUCCUACCUCUGGUGAGUGAUAGCCUAGAAAUGAGGUUGAAACAUUGAAAAACCAUAAUUAAAGUAGGUUUUGAAAAAAAAAAUCUAAGCCUACAUCCAAUUCUCAUGAGAACAGACAAGGAAGAGAAGCUACUUAAAGCACAGUGAGGAGAGACAAUUGAAAUCAGUUCGACUGAGUUCAGUUGAGUUCUAAACAGUUCAGUUCAUGGAGUUCAGAGGUAGUUUUGCCAAGCAAAGCAAUUCAGUGAUAAGCUGAGAAAAGCCAGUUUGAAUUAGACAGCUAGGGAAGGCGUUUGAGCUAAAACAGCUAAGUUGAACCAGCCAGUCAGAGUUCAGAAAGAGUUAGUAGGGGUGAACAUGUUUAGCAAUAAGCCUCUAAGAUGACAAUUGCAUCUGGUAAAUAAAAGAUACUUUUACAACAUA